GACGAACGCUGGCGGCGUGCUUAACACAAUGCAAGUCGAGCGGUAAAGGCCCUUCGGGGUACACGAGCGGCGAACGGGUGAGUAACACGUGGGUGACCUGCCCUCCACUUCGGGAUAAGCCCGGGAAACUGGGCCUAAUACCGGUUAGGACCUCCUCAUGCAUGUGGGGUGGUGGAAAGCUUGUGUCUUUGAUGCUUGCGGUGGGGGAUGGGCCCGCGGUCUAUCAGCUUGUUGGUGGGGUGAGGCCUACCAAGGCGACGACGGAUAGCCGGCCUGAGAGGGUGAUCGGCCACACUGGGACUGAGACA
rnacentral:rRNA from 1 species